AAUAAUAAUAAUAAUAAAAAAGUUAGAUAGGCAGAAGGCAGAAAAACUGGUUUACCCAUCAGCUGUGGAGAUGCAGUAGGACCUGGAGGACUGAGCAAAGAGGCAAACACUGUUUUUCUCUUUCAGUCAUUCUCACUUCUCUUAGAGAAUAUUCUGGAUUUGCCCAUGACUCAGAGGAUGACAUCAGAAAUGACACAUAACCCAUCUGCCCUCACUGAAUGGCAGUAAGAUGUCUCUGCCUCAGGGAGAUGUUGUGAAGAUAGAUUUGUUUUCCUGUAAUUUGACUGUCUGAAAUAAUUUGACUGUAUAAAUGCUAACGAUGCUGAUCUGGAGCAAUCUUCCCACCAUUUCUCGUAAUUUCUGGUGUGUAAAACAGACUGCCUUCCUCAGCUGGAAAUUCCUGUGGGGAGUUUACUGAGAAGUGAAGAGCUCAUUCUCUGCAAGUGGAGUCCCACUGUGCAUCCUGGUGUGUUCAAUUAUGAUUUUUUAGACUGUAUGUUCUCUUUAAUGUGCAUGUGUGCCACUAGGUAGAGCAAGGUAAGGACAGAACAUAGACAUGGGAGAGAGACUUUACUACCUUAUUUCUUGGCAUUUUGAAGUGAUAAUACAAGAAGAUGAUCAGCUGCUUUGGAAGAACUAUGACCAGGAGCUCUUGUGAUGUAACUGCCUUCAUUUGUCACAAUGGGAGAUUGGUAACCAACACUGGAAACGUAUUCUGCAGAAGGAGUACAUUUAUGGAGAAGAAUAUGAACCUGUGGAAGAAAGGACCAACUGGAAUGUGUCAGCAAUUUUCCCAUGGCAUGCAAUUCUAUUGGAAUAUCUCCUUCAUUGAAAGCAAUUCACUUCAUGUUGCAAUUUAAAAAUAUAUUCCUUUUCAAAUUCUUAUUGAUAAAAGUUCUGUAUUUUAGAAUUCAAAAGGUUUUGUCUUUUUUUGUGUGUCUGAAGUUAUACAACUUACAGUUCCUGUAUCAACUUAAAUUUCCAC
rnacentral:lncRNA from 1 species